UGAAAUAAACUUGCGCUGGGAUCAUUUCUGUAGUCAGUCUUCACAUACUUUCACACUAGCUGAAAGCCAAGUGCACUCGCGUUGAUGAGUUGAAUCGUUCUAAGGGAU